GCCUAGUUAGCUUGGUUGGUAGCGCGUCUGCCUUGUAAGCGCUAGGCCGCGGGUUCGAUUCCCGCCCGGGGUG
rfam:Asian citrus Psyllid, Diaphorina citri - Florida Strain, whole genome shotgun sequence.